rnacentral:tRNA from 1 species
GUUAAUGUAGCUUAAAACAAAAGCAAGGCACUGAAAAUGCCUAGAUGAGUACUUUCACUCCAUAAACA